CAUGACUACGCUGCUCCAACCCCCUCCCUCGGCUCUCUCCUCUUUCUAGAUUGUUACCUUCUGUGACCCUCGCACCCUGCCCCUAGGUGGCCCGUAGGCUGGGGCCCACUCACCUCGAGAGAGGGAGAGUGAUCACGCCGGGAGCUCUGGGAUGAAGGCCACACCAUUCCACUCCUCCCCCGGCCUCGCUGCCGCGGUUCCCACAAAGCCGACCAGCCUUUCCCAUUCCCAGUCCACCCCUCACCGCCUCAGUUCACAGCCAUCUUAGAAUCCCACAUCUUUAGAAUUCUUCGGCUGGUCUCUGUACCCCUCAGGAGUCCUCAGAAUUUAAAAAAUAAAAGUUGUGAGAAAGCA